GCUGUAGCUCAGUGGUAGAGUGCUCAGUGGUAGAACAUGGGGGAGGUCCUGAGUUCAAUCCCCAGUACUGCA
rnacentral:tRNA from 1 species